rnacentral:misc_RNA from 1 species
GCUGCCUCUUCUAUUUAUAAUAAAUGGUCUAGGGUUAGGUUUUUAGAGUCUCUGUCAAAAACUGCAACUGGAGCAAAAUUAGGAAUCUGACUGUCGACGGAUACACGGCCCGUGUAUCACUACACGGCCCAGGGCCCAGGGCCGUGUAACUAACUAGAGUUAUGAAUGUUUGCAUCUCGCGAUGUCACAGAAGAUUACACGGGGCGCAGCUGGUUACAUGGGUCCAAGUACAUGGCCCGUGUACUUUUGUUCUUCAGAGAAUUCUUCAAACCUAGUCAGGCAGAGACUUACACGGGUUUCUAUGAUUUAGACGGAUCUGAGUACACGGCCCGUGUACUACGUUUCUUCCUUGUCUCUUUCAGCUUUCCCUUGGCAGUAGGUUACACGGGUCUGUGUCUCUACUUACCCAACCCGUGUAAAGUAUAUCAAAGUAUAUCAGCAACACUUCUCUUCCCUUUGUGUUUUUUCAAGCUUUCUUUUGUACUCCUAUACUUUGGAACUUCAUCCAAACACCUGAAAUAAUGUAGAAAACAUGAAAUUUAGAGCUUGACAAUGAAAUUUAUAAAAGUUGAUGAAAUUAAUGAUUAUGCACGAGAUUACUUAUCUAAAUGCUGUGAAAUAAUAUACAAAUGUGCUUAAAAAUAUCUAUAUAAUACAAGUGUAUUAGAUAGCGAAGCCUCCUCUGCGCCCCCAUAGUUAGGGUAAUUCAUCUCGUAAAAAAGAAUCGAGAAACUGAAAACCCAUUUCAGUUGCUGCUCUCUUUUCUAAGCUUUGUUUGUGCGUCUAUUUCGUUAUCUGUUCUAAUUUUUGUUGAUUCUUUUCUCAUUUUAUCUUGACUGGGUCUUUUUUUCUUUCUUUUUUUUCAUCUCUUUGCUCCAGCUGUUGCUGCAAGUACGAGCUGUUUUCAGAGGAAUUGAAGCAAGCAAAUGGGAACCAGUAUUUGAAAGCUUUGAGCAAGUGGAUCCCUCAACAACUAGAUUGCUUGGAAGCACUGUUCUACUCUGUAUUGUUCAAACCUUGUACAACUGUUUAUGGUGCAGAACAGCAUUGCCGAGUAGAUUUUGUGAGGCUUAAUGUUGUGUUGCUUGGUUGUUCACAACUGUAUUCUGCAUGCUUUUCUGAAGCGUGGCAUCAAUCCUGGUUCCUGGGGGAUUGAGAAGUUAGGAGUGUUGUUGAGCAAUAUUAUGGAAAGAAAUUUGAGCACUUCCAUUAGUUGCCGAAGUGGGGAUUUAAAAGUUACUUGGGAUGGCAUGAGCAGGUUUCUUCUAAAGAUUCCAUUAAUUUUGGAUCUGUUGCCUUAAAGCUUUGGAAUUAUUAAUCAAUGCGCUGUGUGUUUUUCCUUCUCCUUUGUAGAUUGUUUAUCUUGCUUGGGUGCUCCAAAGGUAAAAUUGAAAUAUUUUUUUAUAUAUUGUUGUUGUGUUCAGUUUUCUUUCUUCUUUCUUGGUUAACUAUCCUUACUAAAUCUUUUCAAAAUUUUCAUGCAAUCUAAUUAAUCUAAAUAGAUUUUAUCAAGGUUUUACUCAAACUUCACUAGAUGUCUUCAAGAUUCCAUGCAAUCUAAGAAAGACUGACGGGCUAGUGAUGACAGUAAGGAUCUUUCAUUGGGUAUAGGUACUAAGUAUGAUUGGACAUACCAAGGAUUAAUUAUGAUAUUCGACACUACAUUUAUAUCUAUGCUAAUAAAUCAAAUCAAUAUCAUCCAUCUAUUAUAAUUUAUAGCGUAAAGUUAAUGGAUAAAUAAACACAUUUCCUAUUUAAAGAUUUUAUUUUCUUAUGCAAGAUAUAUAUUGUGUAUCUUCUUUCUUUUGUCAAAAUUUUGUAGUAAGAUGUCAUAGCCCAACAACAAAAUUGAGAUAAAUUAAUCAAAAUAGGAAAAUUAGCCAACACCCAUAUCCAUAGAUUGCAAUCAACAACAAACCAACAGCUGAAAUCACCAAAAGAAAGAAAACUAAGCCCAACGAUGCAAACACUCAAAUGUUGCAAACUAGAUAUUGGCUACAAAUUGAUCCAGCAGCAUGUUUUUACCUCUAUUCAAUCUUUUUUGAAUCCUUGAGUCCAUUUUUGACGGAUUAAUGAAUGAUUAUAGGUGUCUUGCUUUUCGUAGCUCCAUUGCAAAUUUCAAGCAUUUUGGCAAAGUGGUUAUGCAAACUGCUUUUCAUUCUUUCAAGUGGUCUUUAAGCGCUUUGAAUCAGUGUAACUCUCAUUCUUUGAAUGUACACUACUCAAACCCAUCAUUGUACAAUUGUGGUUUUGGUAUUAUUAUUCAUAGUUUAAUAAGUGAGUUGAGUUAGUGUUAAUCAAUUGUAGAAGUCAAUUAUGGAGUUACUUUAAGUUCCCGCGUACUUUAGGGCUAUGUGUUUGUUUAAUAUUAAGUGGAAGUUAUAUGCUUCUCUUUAUGUGGGAGGACAAGCUUAGGAAGAAAAUUAGUUCAUCUUAUUUUAUUUUUGUUGUCUGAGAAGUCAUAAAAGGCCGAAAAUGCUCCGCCAAUAACUCUUUUGAUUUAUUUCUUGAAAACUCCACAUGGGGAUUGUUUAAAUGCUACUGAGAAAUUAUUUUAAGGUCUUUCAUUUUAAUAAUAUAUACAAUAUAUUAUUAUUUUAUUUUUGCAGUAUUAUAAGUCAAAAAAAUGCUGGAAAUGCUCCACCAAUGCUGGAAAUGCUCCACCAACUCCUCAUUUGAUUGAUUUCCUGAAAACUUCAUAAAUUGAGUUGUCCAGAUAUCCUUCCUUUGGAAGAAGACGUAAAUUUCAUCUAUGAGCAGCUUCACUAUCAACUGCGAAGAAGUGUUCACAUGGGGCUGGAUAUAGUAUUUCCUAAAGAAAUGAAUUUGGAGAUCCAUUAGUAACAAGAGGGCCUAGGCAUGGCUAAAAGUUUUUAUCUUUGAUUAAUCUGGACAUGCUUUGUGAGAGAAAUCAGAAAGCUUUGUCAUACUUCAGCACAUUCCGUGUUUUCUAUGUGAUUGUAUGCUCGAGUUAUUUAUUUUAUUGUCAUAAUUUGAGCGUUAUUCAUUUUGUGCUGAGGAUUGAAAAGCCUCAGGAUAGUAUUCAUUCUUUACUGCAUCAGGUUCAUGAAAUGUUGGAUAGAGAGUGGUUGGUAAGAGUCUCCCAUGGCUCUAGAGAACCUAAUUUUAGUGCACAGAUUGGAUGGCCUCAUUCUUUGCCUGUGGGUGUGCACAGAUUCAGGUCUCCUCCUUCGGGCCUGCUAAAGUGGCUUUCUCAUGAUAGUGUAGGAGUCGCUCAUUCUCGAGCUUGUGCGGUGUAGAUGAACAAAUGAAAUCAAAAGACGAAAAGAAAAAUGGAGAUGAAAAAAGUACAAAU